UUUUUUGCGCAGUGGCAGUAUAAUAACCAAUGAAGUUAAUCUGAGGUGUGAUUAUUGCUAGUUGAAAACUUUUCCCUUCUUGGGAUGCACAGAUGUGAAAGGACUAUAUGCCAGCCUAGAGAGACCACUGAGCUAAUAUUUUACAUAGAUCUGU
rnacentral:snRNA from 1 species